GACGAACGCUGGCGGCGUGCUUAACACAUGCAAGUCGAACGGAAAGGCCCUGCUUUUGUGGGGUGCUCGAGUGGCGAACGGGUGAGUAACACGUGAGUAACCUGCCCUUGACUUUGGGAUAACUUCAGGAAACUGGGGCUAAUACCGGAUAGGAGCUCCUGCUGCAUGGUGGGGGUUGGAAAGUUUCGGCGGUUGGGGAUGGACUCGCGGCUUAUCAGCUUGUUGGUGGGGUAGUGGCUUACCAAGGCUUUGACGGGUAGCCGGCCUGAGAGGGUGACCGGCCACAUUGGGACUGAGAUACGGCCCAGACUCCUACGGGAGGCAGCAGUGGGGAAUAUUGCACAAUGGGCGGAAGCCUGAUGCAGCAACGCCGCGUGCGGGAUGACGGCCUUCGGGUUGUAAACCGCUUUCGCCUGUGACGAAGCGUGAGUGACGGUAAUGGGUAAAGAAGCACCGGCUAACUACGUGCCAGCAGCCGCGGUGAUACGUAGGGUGCGAGCGUUGUCCGGAUUUAUUGGGCGUAAAGGGCUCGUAGGUGGUUGAUCGCGUCGGAAGUGUAAUCUUGGGGCUUAACCCUGAGCGUGCUUUCGAUACGGGUUGACUUGAGGAAGGUAGGGGAGAAUGGAAUUCCUGGUGGAGCGGUGGAAUGCGCAGAUAUCAGGAGGAACACCAGUGGCGAAGGCGGUUCUCUGGGCCUUUCCUGACGCUGAGGAGCGAAAGCGUGGGGAGCGAACAGGCUUAGAUACCCUGGUAGUCCACGCUGUAAACGGUGGGUACUAGGUGUGGGGUCCAUUCCACGGGUUCCGUGCCGUAGCUAACGCUUUAAGUACCCCGCCUGGGGAGUACGGCCGCAAGGCUAAAACUCAAAGGAAUUGACGGGGCCCCGCACAAGCGGCGGAGCAUGCGGAUUAAUUCGAUGCAACGCGUAGAACCUUACCUGGGUUUGACAUGGAUCGGGAGUGCUCAGAGAUGGGUGUGCCUCUUUUGGGGUCGGUUCACAGGUGGUGCAUGGCUGUCGUCAGCUCGUGUCGUGAGAUGUUGGGUUAAGUCCCGCAACGAGCGCAACCAUUGUUCACUGUUGCCAGCACGUUAUGGUGGGGACUCAGUGGAGACCGCCGGGGUCAACUCGGAGGAAGGUGGGGAUGACGUCAAGUCAUCAUGCCCCUUAUGUCCAGGGCUUCACGCAUGCUACAAUGGCUGGUACAGAGAGUGGCGAGCCUGUGAGGGUGAGCGAAUCUCGGAAAGCCGGUCUCAGUUCGGAUUGGGGUCUGCAACUCGACCUCAUGAAGUCGGAGUCGCUAGUAAUCGCAGAUCAGCAACGCUGCGGUGAUACGUUCCCGGGGCUUGUACACACCGCCCGUCAAGUCAUGAAAGUUGGUAACACCCGAAGCCGGUGGCCUAACCGUUGUGGGGGAGCCGUCGAAGGUGGGACUGG
rnacentral:rRNA from 1 species